rnacentral:rRNA from 1 species
GAAUGCUGACAUAAGUAACGAUAAUGCGGGUGAAAAACCCGCACGCCGGAAGACCAAGGGUUCCUGUCCAACGUUAAUCGGGGCAGGGUGAGUCGACCCCUAAGGCGAGGCCGAAAGGCGUAGUCGAUGGGAAACAGGUUAAUAUUCCUGUACUUGGUGUUACUGCGAAGGGGGGACGGAGAAGGCUAUGUUAGCCGGGCGACGGUUGUCCCGGUUUAAGCAUGUAGGCGGGAAGUUUAGGUAAAUCCGGACUUCUUUUAACGCUGAGGUGUGAUGACGAGGCACUACGGUGCUGAAGUAACAAAUGCCCUGCUUCCAGGAAAAGCCUCUAAGCAUCAGGUAACAUCAAAUCGUACCCCAAACCGACACAGGUGGUCAGGUAGAGAAUACCAAGGCGCUUGAGAGAACUCGGGUGAAGGAACUAGGCAAAAUGGUGCCGUAACUUCGGGAGAAGGCACGCUGAUAUGUAGGUGAAGUGGUUUACCCAUGGAGCUGAAAUCAGUCGAAGAUACCAGCUGGCUGCAACUGUUUAUUAAAAACACAGCACUGUGCAAACACGAAAGUGGACGUAUACGGUGUGACGCCUGCCCGGUGCCGGAAGGUUAAUUGAUGGGGUUAGCGGCAACGCGAAGCUCUUGAUCGAAGCCCCGGUAAACGGCGGCCGUAACUAUAACGGUCCUAAGGUAGCGAAAUUCCUUGUCGGGUAAGUUCCGACCUGCACGAAUGGCGUAAUGAUGGCCAGGCUGUCUCCACCCGAGACUCAGUGAAAUUGAACUCGCUGUGAAGAUGCAGUGUACCCGCGGCAAGACGGAAAGACCCCGUGAACCUUUACUAUAGCUUGACACUGAACACUGGUCCUUGAUGUGUAGGAUAGGUGGGAGGCUUUGAAGCGCGGACGCCAGUUCGUGUGGAGCCAACCUUGAAAUACCACCCUUUAAUGGCUGGUGUUCUAACGUAGACCCGUGAUCCGGGUUGCGGACAGUGUCUGGUGGGUAGUUUGACUGGGGCGGUCUCCUCCUAAAGAGUAACGGAGGAGCACGAAGGUUAGCUAAUCCUGGUCGGACAUCAGGAGGUUAGUGCAAAGGCAUAAGCUAGCUUGACUGCGAGAGUGACGGCUCGAGCAGGUGCGAAAGCAGGUCUUAGUGAUCCGGUGGUUCUGAAUGGAAGGGCCAUCGCUCAACGGAUAAAAGGUACUCCGGGGAUAACAGGCUGAUACCGCCCAAGAGUUCAUAUCGACGGCGGUGUUUGGCACCUCGAUGUCGGCUCAUCACAUCCUGGGGCUGAAGUAGGUCCCAAGGGUAUGGCUGUUCGCCAUUUAAAGUGGUACGCGAGCUGGGUUUAGAACGUCGUGAGACAGUUCGGUCCCUAUCUGCCGUGGGCGCUGGAGAAUUGAGGGGGGCUGCUCCUAGUACGAGAGGACCGGAGUGGACGCAUCACUGGUGUUCGGGUUGUCAUGCCAAUGGCAUUGCCCGGUAGCUAAAUGCGGAAGAGAUAAGUGCUGAAAGCAUCUAAGCACGAAACUUGC